rnacentral:rRNA from 1 species
UACGAAGGGGGCUAGCGUUGCUCGGAAUUACUGGGCGUAAAGCGCACGUAGGCGGCUUUCUAAGUCGGGGGUGAAAUCCUGGAGCUCAACUCCAGAACUGCCUUCGAUACUGGAGAGCUUGAGUCCGGGAGAGGUGAGUGGAACUGCGAGUGUAGAGGUGAAAUUCGUAGAUAUUGGGAAGAACACCAGUGGCGAAGGCGGCUCACUGGCUCGUAACUGACGCUCAUGCACGACAGCGUGGGGAUCAAACAGG